UACGUAGGGGGGCAAGCGUUGUCCGGAUUUAUUGGGCGUAAAGAGCGUGUAGGCGGCCAGAUAGGUCAGCUGUGAAAACUCGAGGCUCAACCUCGAGAUGUCGGCUGAAAACCAUCUGGCUAGAGUCCGGAAGAGGAGAAUGGAAUUCCCGGUGUAGCGGUGAAAUGCGCAGAUAUCGGGAAGAACACCCGUGGCGAAGGCGGUUCUCUGGGACGGUACUGACGCUGAGACGCGAAAGCGUGGGGGAGAACAGG
rnacentral:rRNA from 1 species